rnacentral:rRNA from 1 species
UGAUCCUGCCGGACCCGACUGCUAUCAGAGUAGGACUAAGCCAUGCGAGUCAACGCCGCAAGGCGUGGCAUACGGCUCAGUAACACGUAGUCAACAUGCCCAAAGGACGUGGAUAACCUCGGGAAACUGAGGAUAAACCGCGAUAGGCCAAGGUUUCUGGAAUGAGCCAUGGCCGAAAUCUAUAUGGCCUUUGGAUUGGACUGCGGCCGAUCAGGCUGUUGGUGAGGUAAUGGCCCACCAAACCUGUAACCGGUACGGGCUUUGAGAGAAGGAGCCCGGAGAUGGGCACUGAGACAAGGGCCCAGGCCCUAUGGGGCGCAGCAGGCGCGAAACCUCUGCAAUAGGCGAAAGCUUGACAGGGUUACUCUGAGUGAUGCCCGCUAAGGGUAUCUUUUGGCACCUCUAAAAAUGGUGCAGAAUAAGGGGUGGGCAAGUCUGGUGUCAGCCGCCGCGGUAAUACCAGCACCCCGAGUGGUCGGGACGAUUAUUGGGCCUAAAGCAUCCGUAGCCUGUUCUGCAAGUCCUCCGUUAAAUCCACCCGCUUAACGGAUGGGCCGCGGGGGAUACUGCAGAGCUAGGAGGCGGGAGAGGCAAACGGUACUCAGUGGGUAGGGGUAAAAUCCUUUGAUCUACUGAAGACCACCAGUGGCGAAGGCGGUUUGCCAGAACGCGCUCGACGGUGAGGGAUGAAAGCUGGGGGAGCAAACCGGAUUAGAUACCCGGGUAGUCCCAGCUGUAAACGAUGCAGACU